UCCCUUGUGGCUCAAAGUUUAAAGCGUCUGCCUGCAAUGCGGGAGACCCAGGUUCAAUCCCUGGUUCUGGAA
rnacentral:tRNA from 1 species